rnacentral:rRNA from 1 species
CACGUAGGGCGCAAGCGUUUGUCCGGAAUUAUUGGGCGUAAAGCGCGCGCAGGUGGUUUCUUAAGUCUGAUGUGAAAGCCCACGGCUCAACCGUGGAGGGUCAUUGGAAACUGGGGAACUUGAGUGCAGAAGAGGAAAGUGGAAUUCCAAGUGUAGCGGUGAAAUGCGUAGAGAUUUGGAGGAACACCAGUGGCGAAGGCGACUUUCUGGUCUGUAACUGACACUGAGGCGCGAAAGCGUGGGGAGCGAACAGG